AGCUGUCCAAAGGUAGUGGGUUAUUUCAGUUGAUUGUUCAGUCAGUUACACAUCCAACUGCUUGCUCUACUCCUUCCCCUAUUCUCAGCACUACACUUGACUAGUUUUUA
ensembl:Y_RNA Y_RNA Y RNA